rnacentral:lncRNA from 1 species
GUGGCAAGCAGUAAAUGAACCUGUAACAUCACAGGAGUGAGGCUGGCAGACAGUGAAUACACCUGUGACAUCAUAGGAGAGAAGUCAGCUAACAGUGAAGGAGCCAGGGACAUUACAGGAGCAAGGUUGGCUGGCAGGCGGUAGAGCAACAUGAACAAGCUUUUAAGGAAUUAAUCUGGUGUGGGAAACUGCUUCCUGGCAGCUCUGAGACUUGGGAGCUGAAUAUGUUGUUGUCUCUGCCCAGUCUAGAAGCAGAUCAUCUGUCCUUGUCAGGACUCCUGAGAGAUUGUUGGACGUGAACUUGGGUAUCGCAGAGCAAAUCUUUCAACAAUAACAGAACAGAGAGUGAGUUGUAAGGUAGAGCUACUGAGUGAGCAAACUGCUCUAUUUCCCUCCACAAUGCAUCUGUGUGAACACACAGCCUCCCCCCCAUCCCGCUCUCUCUUCAUCAGAAUCCAAAUAUAAACCUAUUCAUUUAACCAUUUCCCAUUAGCAGCUUCUUUUGCUGUGACUAAUGCGUAACUAUUUCCGGUUGACUACAUUCACAAAUGACUAUAAAAGAAAUUCCAGGAAACUCAAGUUUAU